AUGAAACGGGCUGAGGAGGAGCAGAGAGCCUGGAUAUCCCCUUGGCAGCAAUGGGCAGAGAUCCACUCAGUACAGCCAGGGCCAUUUAUAUCUAGCUGGGCAACUCUACCAGCUUUGCCUUCUGCCCUCCUUCAGGCCAGUCUCACCCUCUUAGCAAGAGGGAAAUCUGCAGGCUCUCAAGCAGAGCCUGGCAGCUUUUCCUUACACCUUGGAUUGCUCAAAGUGCUGACUCCCUGUGCUCCCGCAGCUCUUCCGGCGUGUGGCCUCAGCUCUGCCAGGAAUGGAGAGUUCCCAAGAGAAGGGCAAAGAAGGAAUGGUUGACAUCAAAUUGGACAAGCCCCAGGAGGCACCAGCCAGCGAAAGUGGGUGCUCAUGCUAGCCCAGAGCAGUCAGGUGCCUGUGCUAUCCCAUGCUCAACACCUUGCUGCCUACAGAGGCCACUGGAGUUGGCAGCUGGGAACUGUAUUUUUUGCUCUCUCUGGGGCAGGAAGAUUGGAGGCGUGGGGAAAAUGUUCUCUUCACAAUCAUGGCUCUUAACUGCAGUUAUGGAAAGUUUGUUUUUCUUUGUUGUUUUUUGUUGUAAAAUAUUGGGGAAGGGGGGGGAAGGUUGGUAAAAAUUACAAAUGAAGUAGGUUGUACAACUGCCAAAAUAAAAUGUCGAGAAAGAAAACA
rnacentral:lncRNA from 1 species